GUGCAGGCUCCUCUGUCAUUUGGCUGCUCGCUCUGUGUGCAUGCUUCUGCAGCCCCAACUUGUGGUAGCUCAUUUCCCCAUCCAUGCUGCUGGGAGUGUGCAUUCAGCCCCGUUAAUAAUCCCUGGAAAAGGCUGUGCAAGACAAGCUGCCGUCUUGCUCCUCUGUGGCUUUGCUGCUGCGGGAUGGGCUGUUUGUGAACGGCAGCAGCAAACCCUUCCUCUUAUCUCCACAGAGAUAAAGCAGCCGGUGGCUAAGGGUGCUUCUUCAUGAGCAAAUUCACAGGGUCUUUGCAGCACAUUUAGUCCUUGAUUUUCCUGUGAUGGUGGCAACUAAGUUCUGGCAGCAAGAUUUUCCCCUAGAGAUCCCCCAAACCCUUCCUGGCCUGAGAGAUUUUCCAUAAAAUGAAAACACAAUGUUUUUCCGCCUGCUUUUCCUUACAUCACUUCUUCACCCCGUAUCUUCAGAAAAUAUCAGACCCAGUGUCUCUUCUGAGUGAUCAAAGCAGCAUCUUUUCUCCAUUUAAAAAAUGACCUUGUGGAAAUUGGGAUGCUCCCCUGAAUUCUGUUGUCUGGCUUUGUCUGAAACACUCUUCUUGUUCCUUCUCCAAAAACAAAACAAGGUGGCCAGGGAUGGAGGAGCACUUCCAGUCCUGGCACUGGAGCAGUAGUAUGCCUGGUCCAGAUGCUGGGCAGACCUGGAUGCUGGGAUGAUGAUAUUAACGGACUGGGGAACUGAAACUACUGCCAUGGAGAGGAAGAAAGAUCGUGUUUGCUGCUCUCUUUGCACUCUUGGCUUUGUUUGCUUUGCAUGGCUGGUUUCUGGUUGGAUUAAAUAAAAAAAAAAAAAAAAAAAAAGUCUCCUGGCCCUUUGAGAUGAGGAAACUCUUGAUGUCAAAAGGAGGUUGUGAGGGGUUUAAGAUGUGUCCUUCCCCUGGGAAAGGGAAAAGAUGCUCCCGUGGGACCUGAGAUAUCCGGGACUCAUGAAGCUCUACGUCUGGUAGUACUUAAACAAAUGUUAAUUAAAACAUUUUAAUGAGGAUGUUUUGAGAACUGUACAUUGGUCUGUGCAUGCCCUUCGUGAAAUAUUAAACACUCCUGCCCUUUCAGUGGAGUCCUUCUCCCCAGGUCUUCCUGCAAAUGGGGUUUGACACCCCUGACUAUUUUGGAAUUAAACAAACUUCUACAAAAAUCUUAAUGUGAUCUUUGAUGUUGCAGUCAAAGGAGCACAUCCCAGAAAAUGUUUUGCUCUCUCCAGUUCAUCGUCUAGUUGUGUUUGUUGAUAUUUUCCCAUCAGGCCCAACAACAAACAGCUGAUUAACUCGUUAGCUGAGAGCAUCAAAGCACAGGGCGAGAGCAUGAAAUCUCCUGCUGUGUCCUCCAGCUGCUCCUCACAGCUCGGUGGUUUCUGCAGGGCCUGUCUGGAUGUGAUCUGUCUGUCCUGCAUAACUGGCCGUCUUGGUGACUCGUGGGCAGAGUGUGCCCACUCUUUCUUCAGCCAACUUUUCCGUGUUUGUGACUGUGCCAGUGCCAGGAGCUCCUCAAGGCAACACAAUGUGGAGGGUCUUCUGUGGACAAUCUCAGCCCUGUGAUCAUCUGCAGAUAGCCAUCAGGAAAAACGAGUUGCUUCCCUCCUACUGGGAGUGAUGGUGGGGAAGGGGUGGAGGUGACCUCUGUGCUUCUACAAAAGCAAAGUACAGCAACAUGUGGCUGUUCUCUUCACAUCUAGGAGCUGUGGUGGGAUGCCUCUGCAGGUUAUGGGUGCAAGGAAAGAAAGGAAACGAUGUGUGUCAACCACUAACUAUCACCUUUGGGGUUCAAAUACUGAGGAUGGAGGAAAGCUAUUCUGACUUCUCCCUGCAAACUGCCCAGGUACAUGAAAUAAAAAUUAUCUGAUGAUCUGAAAACCAAACACCGGUCCUGGGAAGGUGAUGGUCAGCAUGGUCAUGGUUCAUUGGACCACUUGUACCCUCCAUGCUCACCCCAUCAGCAGUUAUGGCACUGAGACUUCCCAGAGCUCAGCAGUUUCCACCUUUCUGUCUUUGUGCAAAUGCAGGUGUUGCUGUGAGGCCCGUGUUCCAGCCAGAUUUGGAAGAUCUCAGCCAUGAGGACUGUAAAUGGACUUCCUUUUUUAAAGAACACCCAAGACUGUGUGCCAUCAAGGCACGGCAUCUUCAAAACCAGCACGGAGCAGGUAGGUAGGGCCACCUAGGCCAGCCAAAUGUGCUAUAUAAAAGCAAGUUAUUAAAGAAACAAAAUAUUAAGCCACAGAAUUUCUUCAAAUUUUAGCAAGUUUUAUGUGUAUGGUUGGCAGGGCUCUGUUAUUCCUGCCAAGCACUCAAUUAGCACUUGAGUUAAUAAGAUAUUUUAAUAGCUGUUAAAUUAAUCAACAACUCUGACACUGCUUCCCAGUGUUUUCCACGAGAAAGACGUUCUUUCAACCCAGUUCCUAUGUUAUCAGUGUCACUAAUUAUUUGUGUUUAUUCUCUUUACUACACUUAUUUGACUUCAUUUGAAAUUAGAUGCAGUGAUAGGGGAUGUGUUUUCGUAUUUUUCUGUAAUGUGCUGAACAGAUGAGGAUUAGAGCUCCCAGCUAUGAGAAAAUGAGUACUCAUAAGCAUUUGUUCAAACAGAAAUCACAGAGCCUUUUUGACAACUGUCAUAAUCCCUUUGAUUUGCUCUUUGUCAGUGCUUUUGUGAGUUUGUUCACAGAAACGUUUGCCAAAAUGAAAGUCCUGCUAAUAGAGGUGAAAACAUGUAACAGCCCCAGAAUACUUGUGAAAAUGUUUGGGCUGACCUGUGCCACAACUAUUUUUUUUCUUUCUGGUGGUCUGACAGCAAUCCAGGCAGGAAAAAAAACAAUAGUUUGGGGUUGAGCUCAUCAGUCCCUCAAAACAGCAAGUGAACUAAAAAUAGAAGGAAAACACCAAGUAGAAGAAAUUUACAAAUAACUGAAGUAUGUCCCCCAAACCAUGGAUUUAGAAUUGUUUCAUUUGGAAAAUGUUAAAGAACAAAAGCAAACACAUGAUCUGUGGGCAGUUCGCCGCUCUGCAACAGCCGGGUGAGGGUGACGGAAUCCCAUCGAGGCUGGGAGCGGGGUCGGUGCGCGAGCGGGUUGCUGUAGGUCUUGGUAUCUCCCCGGGUUCGCUCAAGCCCAUGCUUCUGCUGUGAGUGGAAUAGCCUAGGGCUGGAGCUGCGCUGAGAGAAAUGAAAAGCUGUCAUAAAAUUAUGUCAUGUGCUGAAUGUGCCAGCCUGUCGUGUAAUAAUAGCUAAAACUUUCUGUAAUUAAAACAAGUAGCUAGUUAUGGUGUCUGACUAUGAUCAAAGCUCUUUUGUCUGCUCUGACAUUUGGCACAUGUGAAAGAUUUUGGCUUACACGGAAAAUACUGUUGUGGUUUUUCUCUUGGUUUUAAAUGGCAAGAAACAUACAUCUCAGAUUAUCCCUAAACUGAAAGAAAACAGUAACGGGAAACUGAGAACCAGAAAGUGCAUGACGUAAAACGUCUACGAUGUCUGGCAGAAGCAGCUCCUCUACCCCGAGAUCAUGCCUUCGGAGCAGUUGACCUGCUGCUGCAAUGCAAACAGUUGAAUUGUGCUGUUUUGUUUUUCUUCAGAGAUGGGAACAGAGCUUGUGGGAGCAUUCCCAAAGGUACCGCGCUGCCUUUGUAAAGUAAGAAUUGCUUUUGCAUAACAAAUAUUUGUCUGAAUUGUGACAAACCAAUUGUCUCCCAGUACAGGAUUUUUUUCAUUACUUGGACUGUAAAAUAUUUGAGAUGUUUGAUGGAUCGAAGCUACCUUUCUGUUUGUGACAUUUACAUUAUUUUUCUAUACUGAUGUCUGGUAUCUAUAUUACAAAAUACAGGGGUUGAUGAGUAAAUAUAAACUGUUUUUGCAGUCAAAUUCCUCUUCAUCUCCAAAAAAAACCCAAACUAAUCCAGAAUUCCUUUUGCAUCGCUGAAAACAUCUACUUCCGCUUAGAAGACUCUGGGAGGACAAAUAUAAAGAAGUCGUAAAAAAACAGAUGUGAACUGAUUGGCUGAGGAACAUCAGCCAAUAAUGUAAUGUCUUAAACAUUAUUUUAGGCAACAAAAUAUAAUCUGAGGGAAAUGACCAUCAGAGUGUACUGCUGAGCACUAGGAUAAAAUCCAUCCUUUUCCUCAAGUUCUGAGGUAUGUUGCAUGAAGAUUUCCUUCUUCCACAUCUUGUGUGCAGUCGUGUCUUCUUGUGUUGCUUCUAAUUUCAAAUUGUGUCCUGUGAACUCAGUGGGCAUGGGCUGAGUUUUUCCCCAAAUUCAGGUAUGUUUGAUGUGGGUUUUCUCAUCUUGGUCACGGCAAGCAGAAUGGAUUGUGAACUCUUUGCUCCACCUUGAAAAGCUCCCUGCAUGCAGGUGUGCCUACACCUUCUGACCAGAGGUUUUUCUACUUAUGCAGCUUAUCAGAGAAGACAGGAAAUAUUUCUCCUCAUUUGGGUAACUGGCAAAUAAAUUGAUCUUCAGUCAUCUUGGGCCACCUCUGCUUUAGAGGGCAGGACUUCUCUGGGAAUGGUUGGGAGAUCUUUGGUCUGUGCAGUGCUUGGAGUGACCACAGACUCCAUGGACCUUUUGGACCAGGAGCAAACUGCUGAGUGCACAGGACCCCUCAUCCCUGGCCAACAUCCACUGCCAAAUCCUGUUGACCGUCAUGAUGGUCUCCGGUGGUUUGUAUCUCAGGAAUGCCCCAUGUCGACUGCGCCUUAUCCACUUCCAGUCUUGGCUCCACAUAAUUCUGACAGCCAUCCAGGGUGCCAGCACGAUGUGCUCACGUGGACAGAGCACUAGCACAAGAGCUUUGGUCCUUACAGAAGCAAACCUUCGGAGCAAACAUGAUGAACCACAGCACCAUGCAGGCUGCAGGCAAGGGUGUCAUUGACAUAUCCAGGGACAUUGCUUCCAGGUGGUGACAGACGGCAUUACCGUCAUGUGCAGCACCAACAAGCAGUGCGCUGUGACAUUCCCUUGUCCCUGGCAGGAAGCUGUUGACCUAUGGAGCUUUCUUACUAGAUUAAUUUAUCCGCAGCUCACCUUCAGUGAAUGCUUUUAAUUGACAGCCUGACUGAUCUGCCUCUGAUGGAAGGUGAGCAUUGUCAUCUUGUAGACUGAAGCCUGAGGAGGAGACAUUUGGAAAGAAGUUUUUUUUAAAAAAAUGCAGAUGCCAAUGCAGAAGAAUCAAAACUGCUGUCCUCAAAAAGGAAGGGGUCACAGGCUGCAGCUGGACCUGUUUCUGCUCCUAUGCUUGGUCUGAGUGCCUGAAAUCUCAUAAAUGGUGAUGGAGAUUGUUCUGCGGUGCCCAGGUACAGCAAGAGGGAAGGAUCCCUCACCAAAAUCCCCGUCACACUGGGUGUUUGUACACUCAUUGUGUGGACGUGCGUGUUGACUAUUCACCACUAAGAACCUUGCUUACCAUAAGUAACCUCUCUUUUUGCUUAUGUAGGCUCCUGUGGAGUUCUCUCAAUCCUCGGGGAUUCAUUCCACUUGAUAAAACAAAAGAAUUGUUUUGCUACUAUUGUAGUUUGAAGUGUUUCUCAAUAUUGUAUUGUCUCACACCAGGAUACAGUUAAGUAGGAGAGAGAUGGAAGCUGUAUUUCAAGCUGGGCAUGGGAAAAUUAUACUGUAAUUUGCAUGGCUGCACUAGAUACAGGAAUCCACUGUGCACAGCUUAGCACUUUCUCAAGCCGGAAAACUCCGAAGCAGGAAGGUUCCCUGAAACCUGAAGCUAAACAAAAUGUUGUUCUUUUGUACCAUCUAAGUUUCUGAGUAAUGUGAGCAUUGUGCAGAUGUUUAGGGCAACACGGUUCCUGGGGGCAGGUCUAGGAAAAUGGUAUCUUCCGUGAUAGUAAACGGAUUAUUUCUAUGGUAUUGAACAUGCUGACUAUUGACUUUCUGUGUUACUACUGUAUUGACUCUUAGCUUUCUUGCCAGAAUAUAGCUUUUCUAUUUAUUAUGA